ensembl:lncRNA
AGCGCUCUCUAGCUCUAUUGGAGUUUUAAAUCUGAUUCAAACGUCUAUAACACAUAGCGCGGUCAUUAGUAUUAGUUUUUACAUUUGUGUUUUAUUUGAUGUUUAUGGGUUUUAUUAAACUGAACCAUAUUCGAGAUUAAUGUUCUUCAUCGUUAACACGUAGAGAUUUUUUUUUACAUGAAAAAGUGCUAUAAAAUGACUAGUAUUAUUUCCCGUUUAGUUUGUUAAAAGUCACUAUGAGAGUUUGUUCCCCCAACAUUCACGACACUUUAAAAGUAACCCUUUUUGCUUUUCUGUAUAUGUUCAUAUUAUCGCAGAGCUUCCUCACAUCCAAACCAGCAGCUUCAUGAUGCUUUAACACAAUUAUUUUUAGUAAUGGAAAUCUGCGUAACAGUCUGAGAUUAAGCAAUGAGCUGGACCACUAACGCCAGCAUCAUGGCUACAGGAAAGCACCGUCCCAUUAUGUUGAACUACAGUCAUAAAACUUGCCCAGCUCGUUUUUCUGACAUUUCCAGGUCACUUGUGGGUGGCUGUACGUGAUUGUAUGGAGGCUGGGAAUGGGAAGAGUGACUCAGGCAUGUGGCAUUAAGAUUGAAUUCCAGAUUGGCAGAACCUGUGUUUGAAUUUUUUCUUGUUCACAAAGGAAACAUUACGCCUAAGCAAGCCUGUACAUGCGGCAGUGUGUUACCUGACACGCAUCACGCCGUAGAACAAAGUAGGAAACGAUGAGGUGACGCUUUCGGCCUCACUGCAACCACUCAUGUCCUAGAAAGUGACGAUAUUUUAAAUAUAUGCCUUCAUUUUAGUCGAUCUAAUGUUAUGAGAUUAUUAUAUAACAACUUUAAGACAAUACGGGCAUUUAAAAAAAAAAUUAAUUACAGAUCAUUUUGAUUAAUGCGUUCUCGCAGUACACUGGCGUUCCAUUCUGCCGGCGGAAUAGAAACAGACUUAUCGGACAUUUAUGAGCGGUAUAAACUAGAGAUCCACUGAUACUAAAUAUCAGAUACCGGUAACCGAUUAUUCAGAGUGCUGUCGACCGAUGCCGAUAACCGAUACCGAUAGUUCUGCCUUUUAUACCUUCUUUUAAAUGGAUAAUAAUUAAUUCCACAAUUCUGAAAGAAACACAAAUAAAAACUUUAUUCUCUCCAUUUCAACAAUCUCACAUUCACUCUCCACGAACACAAGCAUUUCUACUUCAUCAUUAAAUAAUGAUAUAUAUAUAAUAUGUAAUAUAUAAUAUCAACUUUUUCAUAUAUUAACAUUAACUGGAUAUGAAAUACACUACUCUACAAAUAUAAUUUUCUGUGCGAUAUCUACUUUUUUGCCAACUCAUCUUCAUUUAAAUCUUUCAACGGUGUACUGGCCCUUUAAUUCAGCACGAGCAGCGCAGCAAAAAAAAAAAAAAUCGACUCGAAGCCGAAACUCCCGCUUCACUGCUGCUCACUUCCGGUGUGAAAUCUUAUCAGUGCAGAGAUUACAGAGAUUACAAACUGCAGUUUUGUCGUCAUUCCACACAUUCCGAGACAUCGUCUUUACACACAGCACGAAAUCCACGUGUUUCCCCGCCUUCUUUUGAUUGACAGGAUAUAAUCGGCCCUGAUCGUCGGCUGUUUUUAAAAUAUCAUAGCCCAUAGCGUGAAAAAUCGCCUUUAAUAAUAAUCGGUACAUCGAUACAUCUCUCUUUAGUAUAAACAAAUGAAUUAUUUUAUCGUCUGUUAUAAGAUGAGUCAGGACACUGUUGGGUUUCUGUGUGUAGAGUAUCCUGACUCUGUGUUUAGCUGCUGGUGAGCGCGGUGAUUUGAAAGGCCACAAUAACACAAAAACCGCACAGCACAACUAAAGCUUUAUUUGAUAGAAAAACACUGUAUACAACUGCCACAAUAAAACGAUUUAAACAUUUAAACCUAAUAGGUUAGGUAAAAAAAAAAAAUUCUUAAAGCCCUCGGUGUCUACUUUCAGAUCUAAGGGACAAUCCAUGACUGUGCAUUACACGAUUUUAAUGCACGACGCGGAGGAAUCUGCAGAGUGCAUUAAAAUCGCAGUUUACCAUGGGCCUUCAUGCUCUAAAUCAUACCCAGAGAUAAAGCAGUGCGAUAAGAUUACAUUUAUUUGAAUGAUUAAUAAUAAAUAGUUAUUAGAGAGAGAAAGAGAGAGAGAUUUCAAGCUUCAGAUUGGCUUAAUAAUCUUGAUUUUGUUUUUAUAAUAAUCUUGUAAUGAUAAACAUUAGAUAACGUCACCUAGUUUCACUUGCUAAGAUAUCAUU